rnacentral:sRNA from 22 species
UUGAACCCAUCGCAACAGGGGCAAGACCAGGAGGCCAGUCAUGUUUUUCGAUAAUGUGGUGUUUGCCGGGGUGUUGACGGUCGGCCUCAUGGUCGUGUUUUUCGCAGGCUUUGGAUUAUUCAUCUGGAAAGACGCGCACAAGCGGAAAAAACCGUAGGUCUUUCCGGCUACAACGAGCACGCAAGGCAUUUUGGGCGACUUCGGUCGCCCUUUUUUUUG